ACGAACGCUGGCGGCGCGCCUAACACAUGCAAGUCGAACGAGCGAGAGAGAGCUUGCUUUCUCGAGCGAGUGGCGAACGGGUGAGUAACGCGUGAGGAACCUGCCUCAAAGAGGGGGACAACAGUUGGAAACGACUGCUAAUACCGCAUAAGCCCACGACCCGGCAUCGGGUAGAGGGAAAAGGAGCAAUCCGCUUUGAGAUGGCCCCGCGUCCGAUUAGCUAGUUGGGGAGGUAACGGCGCACCAAGGCGACGAUCGGUAGCCGGACUGAGAGGUUGAACGGCCACAUUGGGAAUGAGACACGGCCCAGACUCCGACGGGAGGCAGCAGUGGGGAAUAUUGCACAAUGGGGGAAACCCUGAUGCAGCGACGCCGCGUGGAGGAAGAAGGUCUUCGGAUUGUAAGCUCCUGUUGUUGAGGAAGAUAAUGACGGUACUCAACAAGGAAGUGACGGCUAACUACGUGCCAGCCGCCGCGGUAA
rnacentral:rRNA from 1 species